AAAUUAAACUAAAAAAAAAAAAAGAAUCAAAGAAAGGAAAGAAGAAAGCGCGGGGGAAGCUAGGGCUACCGUGUCUGUACCUAAAUAAUGGCGGGAAAAAAGGCACCCCGCAAGAAUUGGCGGGAAAAUGUCCUUAUUAUCAUCAUUUAGCAGGCAAAGCCAGUUUCACUCUCCACAGAUCUGAAACUAAACCACUAAAUUCAGAUCAGAAAAUGGUGGGACCGAUGUACGAUUUCCUCGCAAACCCUCUCGGAGCCGUCCGAUUAACAUUUGACAAGACAAUCGGGUCCGGAACGGACCCGUCCUCCUUCGACGGCAAAGAUUGGGGCGCCGUCGACCUCUUCCGCCACUUCCUCUUCGACCAAGCCCGCCUCUCCCAGGUUCCAAUUCUUAAUGUUGCAACAAUAAAUUGGAUUAAACCGAACACUCUAGUUCGGUUUCGGGGAAUGAUACAAGACAUGUUGGGAAAUGAAUUAUAUGUUGGUGCUUAUAAGGAUGAUUCAGUUUGGAGGACCAACAAAUUCAUGGAUAUCUCCCAAUGCCCCGUGGAACUUAAUUCGCCUGAUAUGCGUCUCUGGGAGCGUCGUUUAUUGUACUGUGUUCCGGUUCCGGGAUUAAAUUCGUGGGCUGAAUCUACUUCUGAGGUAGCAGUAAAUAUGUGCAUGGAUUCGACUUCUGAACAAAGAGAUAAGCGUAGGAGAAUGGACAUUGAAGCUGUGGAUCCCAAUGAUUUUCCUGUCUCAGGUGAUGAAUCUGAAGAUUCUCCUAGUGCGAAAAGAAUGAGAGAGGAUCCCUCAUCUUCACAGUACCUGGAUCCUAAAAAUGAAGGGCCUUCUUCAAGCCAUGUUAUUCUCCCAGACGUUGAUAGAGAUUCUCUUCCUUGUCUAGUAAAGAUAUAUGAUUCUCCAGAGUCUGAGUUGAAGCUAAAUGAUGUUUUUGAAUUUGUCGGGGUCCUCACUUUUGAUUCUGAACUUCUAUCUGAGAAGGUUGAUCAGGAUGAGUUCUCUAAUGGUCUUGGUGAUGACGUGUCUGUCAAUUUGCCACCCAACAAGGUGCCACGCCUCCAUUGUGUUAUUCAUAGGAAACUCACAGUCUAUGACUUUCUGCAGAACUCCCCUCUGACAGAGCCAAAACCCCAUUUAGUCAAAGAGGCAAGGGAAGCACUGUUGAGGCAUCUCACAUCUAUUCUUGGCAAUGAUGGGGUAGCAGCUCAUUUCAUGUUGUUGCAUCUUCUGUCUAGGGUACAUGCCAGAGCAGAUAAUGUUGCUGUUGGGAAGCUUUCUUUGAACCUUACUUGUAUUAGCAAAGAGAUUGCAUCUGUAUUUGGCACUAGACUAAGUAUUGUCAUCAAGAAUCUUCUUCCCGUCACAAAAUGCAUACCCCUGACUGUGGAAUAUCUCAACAUGGCUUCUCUUGCUCCCAAAAAGGAUUAUCAAAUAAAUAGACUGAUACCUGGAGUUCUACAGCUAGCUGAGGGCUCACACUUAAUGUUUGAUGAGACAUGUUUGGAAACAGGAACCCUCAAUUCUGUUGGGGUUGAGAACGCAAGGUUGCUUAAAGCCCUGACGGAGUUGCAAAAGGUUGAGUAUGACUUUAAGUAUUACAAGAUGGAGAUGAUGGCUGAUGUACAAAUGCUAAUAUUGUCUGAGGGGAAAUCAAACAUCUUGCCAGCUGAUAUAAUUAUGCCAUUCCAGCCUUCCUCGGCAGGUUCCUCAGAAGUAGUGCCUGCAGAAGUCCUGGAAGCUUGGAGAUGGUACUUGGCUACUGUUAGAUCUAUGCCUCAUUUGAUCGAGGCAGAUAUGCAGCAGGUGGUAGAAAAUGACUUGGUUAUUGCUAGGCAAGCAGAUCGAAGCUUAGGCAGCCAAGACUUCAGCAGAUGGCUGACAAUGGGCCGCCUCAUUUCUGCCAGUUUUGGCGAGACCUCACUCACAUUGGAGCACUGGCAAAUGGUAAAGGAGCUGGAGAGGCUAAGGAUAGAUAGGCUCAAGUGAAACAUGCCUUUUCAUGCUGGUACUCAAACAUGUAAAACUAAAGGCAUUCUAAUAAGCUUGGAUUAGCGGGCAUUUCCUUGAUUACAUAAAAGAGGAAUCCGGCACUGCAUUGGGAGUGCCUUGUAUUGUAUUGGAGGUAUUUAUCAAUUAAGGAGUAACGAAAGGGUGUUAUUUGGAUGCGUUAAGAUAUUUGUUUGUAGAGAAUUUAUAUAGACCAUUUUUCACGAACAUAACAAUUGGAAAGGCGAAGUUUACCUAGAAAUUUCGAGGAGUUAACAAAGCUAAAAC